UAAAGUUUUAUUUUGGCUUUGGGGAUUAAUAAAAUGGGGGAAUUAUAUGCGAUAAUUUUAUAGUAAAAAUUUAGAUAAUUUUUAUGGCUUUUGCAAUAAUAAAUAUUAAAUAUUAAUUAAUGUUAGAUUUAGUUACUUAAAUUAGUGUUAACAAAAUUUGUGCCAGCAGUUGCGGUUAUACAAAUAAUGCAAUUAAUUUUAAUCGGUUUAUAAUUAAUUUUUUAAAAAAUAUUGAAAUAAAUAAUUAUUAAGUGAAAUUUUAUUUGUUUAUAAUUUAAAUUAUAAAUAGUGAAGUUAUUAAAUUUAAAAAUAAACUAGGAUUAGAUACCCUAUUAUUAUAAAUGUAAAUAUCAAAACUUAAAAAUUAGUAGUUAAGAUCUUUAAAAUUAAAAAAUUUGGCGGUAUUUUAGUCUAUUUAGAGGAACCUGUUUUAUAAUCGAUAAUCCACGAUUUUUAUUACUUAUUUUAAUAAAUUUGUAUAUCGUCGUAGUUUGAAUAUUUUUUAAGAAUUAAUAUUCAAGAUUCUUUAUUAAGAUAAAAAUCAGAUCAAGAUGCAGUUUAUAAAUAAGGAAAAAUGGGUUACAAUAAAUUUAUUUAUAUGGUUAGUAUAUUUUAAAAAUAUAUUAUAAAUUGGAUUUAAAAGUAAUUAAAUUUAAUUAAAUUUAAUGAUUUUAGCUCUAAGAUAUGCACAUAUCGCCCGUCACUCCCGUAUAAAAUGGGAUAAGUCGUAACAUAGUAGAUGUACUGGAAAGUGUAUCUAGGCGGCAA
rnacentral:ncRNA from 1 species